rnacentral:lncRNA from 1 species
GAUUGUUCAACACACCCCUAUGUGGCCCUCUCCUUUGGGCGUAUAACAUUUUUCUAGUUACACCCUCAAUUUUCAGUCUAUUUUUGUCUUUUGUAUAUUUUAUUUAUUUAUUAUUUUAUUAUUAUUGCUUUAUCUAUUUAUUUUUGUUUUUUUCUUUUAUUUCCUUUAGUUUCUUCAAAUCUUUUACCUCCUGUGUUGAUUAUGUGCCCCCUCCCUUUAAUUUUAUUUUUUACCUUCUUUAUUGCUUUAUUUUUUUAGUUUAUUUUAUUGUAUUU